GCCAUAAAUGCUGAAAUAACCAUCUCAUCAGCUUUUACUAGACAAGCUUAACAUUUUCUAAUUUACUGGCAGGUGUCUAAACAAACUAGAACCCUUCCAUCAGGUAACCUUUUGGGGACAAGAACCUGUUGUGAGAAAAGGAAACAUCCUUCCAAUUGACGUAACCAUAGCACAGAGAUCAUCCAAUAAAAAGGUAACAAUAAUUAAGAAUCUUGAGCUGUAUGGUUUGGACCCCCAGGCUGUUGCUAGUACCCUUCAACAAAAGGUUCAAGCUAGCACCACUAUCGUCGCAAUCCCUGGAG